GCCUUGUACACACCGCCCGUCACACCACGAGAGUUUGUAACACCCGAAGUCGGUGAGGUAACCUUUUUGGAGCCAGCCGCCUAAGGUGGGAUAGAUGAUUGGGGUGAAGUCGUAACAAGGUAGCCGUAUCGGAAGGUGCGGCUGGAUCACCUCCUUUCUAAGGAA
rnacentral:rRNA from 1 species